UGCAAGUCGAGCGCGCCUUCGGGUGAGCGGCGGACGGGUUAGUAACGCGUGGGAACGUGCCCUUCUCUACGGAAUAGCCUCUGGAAGCGGAGAGUAAUACCGUAUACGCCCUUUGGGGGAAAGAUUUAUCGGAGAAGGAUCGGCCCGCGUUAGAUUAGGUAGUUGGUGGGGUAACGGCCUACCAAGCCUACGAUCUAUAGCUGGUCUUAGAGGAUGAUCAGCAACACUGGGACUGAGACACGGCCCAGACUCCUACGGGAGGCAGCAGUGGGGAAUCUUAGACAAUGGGGGCAACCCUGAUCUAGCCAUGCCGCGUGAGUGAUGAAGGCCUUAGGGUCGUAAAGCUCUUUCGCCUGUGAUGAUAAUGACAGUAGCAGGUAAAGAAACCCCGGCUAACUCCGUGCCAGCAGCCGCGGUAAUACGGAGGGGGUUAGCGUUGUUCGGAAUUACUGGGCGUAAAGCGCGCGUAGGCGGAUUAGAAAGUUGGGGGUGAAAUCCCGGGGCUCAACCCCGGAACUGCCUCCAAAACUGCUAGUCUAGAGUUCGAGAGAGGUGAGUGGAAUUCCGAGUGUAGAGGUGAAAUUCGUAGAUAUUCGGAGGAACACCAGUGGCGAAGGCGGCUCACUGGCUCGAUACUGACGCUGAGGUGCGAAAGUGUGGGGAGCAAACAGGAUUAGAUACCCUGGUAGUCCACACCGUAAACGAUGAAUGCCAGUCGUCGGAUAGUAUACUAUUCGGUGACACACCUAACGGAUUAAGCAUUCCGCCUGGGGAGUACGGUCGCAAGAUUAAAACUC
rnacentral:rRNA from 1 species